rnacentral:rRNA from 1 species
UACGAAGGGGGCUAGCGUUGCUCGGAAUCACUGGGCGUAAAGGGUGCGUAGGCGGGUCUUUUAAGUCAGGGGUGAAAUCCUGGAGCUCAACUCCAGAACUGCCUUUGAUACUGAAGAUCUUGAGUUCGGGAGAGGUGAGUGGAACUGCGAGUGUAGAGGUGAAAUUCGUAGAUAUCGGGAGGAACACCAGUGGCGAAGGCGACUACCUGGCCUGUUCUUGACGCUGAGGCGCGAAAGCUAGGGGAGCAAACGGGG